rnacentral:rRNA from 1 species
AGAGUUUGAUCCUGGCUCAGAACGAACGCUGGCGGCGUGCCUAACACAUGCAAGUCGAACGUGAAAGUCCUUCGGGAUGAGUAAAGUGGCGCACGGGUGAGUAAUGCGUAGAUAAUCUGCCUGGUGAUCUGGGAUAACAUCUCGAAAGGGGUGCUAAUACCGGAUAAGCCCACGGAGUCUUCGGACUUUGCGGGAAAAGGGGGGGACCUUCGGGCCUUCUGUCACCAGAUGAGUCUACGUACCAUUAGCUAGUUGGUGGGGUAAGAGCCCACCAAGGCUACGAUGGUUAGCUGGUCUGAGAGGAUGAUCAGCCACACUGGAACUGAGACACGGUCCAGACUCCUACGGGAGGCAGCAGUGGGGAAUUUUGCGCAAUGGGGGAAACC